CUGCUGUUUUGCCGUGCGUCUCCAUUUCUCAUCCCAGUUCGCCUCUUCCUGCCUCUCCUCUCACCUCGUCACCACCGGCCAACAAGCUAUUUAUCCCCCGAGGCUGCGAGAUGGCGAGUUCAGCUUCCCGGCCUUUCCUGGGCUACAGAGAUCUUGGAGGCGGCCGCAUGCGCAGAGCGAGGAGCCGGAGUCGGCUGGUCCGCGCCCUCCACCUGGGCCUGGGCCGAGGGCUCGCUGGGGUCUGACGGCUAUGCUUGGUGAAAGUUGCUUGGAGGCUGGAGAGUGAGGACUGCGAGGGACAUAGCUGAUGACUCUUUAACAAGACAAGGUUUUCCGGUUUCCUUACCUUGAAAACUCCAAGGGAACUGCCCUGUAUUUUGGAAAUGCUUAGCCUAAGGUCUAACUAGCAAAACAGUCAUCUGAUUAUCUGCAGAGUUGGGUAAGUUAAUGACUUCAGAAGCCUUUCCUUACACGAUGUAGCAGAUAUCACUAACAGGUUUUUAAAGUCAAUUUGUAAUUUUGAUGGGUGUUUGCAGCUUAAUGUGGGCUGUUAGGCUGCACUCCCUCUAGCCAUGAGUGCACACUGCUGGUCCUUGCUGUGGACCAAGUGCUGUAGCUCAUGACUUCUCUGACAUGAACUCCCCUCUGUACCAGAGGAUUCAAGGCAGAAACGGUAGCUCAGGUGAUUUUAGGCUUCCUGGUCCAGGAUGAAACCUAAUCUGAGUGGACAUCUGUGGAUGAGAAAUGCGGAUAUGGGACUGAGACCAGCUUUUAGGAAUAUGCUUUGCUGGUGGAAUAUUAGGACAGAACUAACUCACUGGUCCACACUUCUUUUUCAGGAGAGGAGCAUCUCAGGGAAGACGUUGGCAAAGGAGAACUGACUACGAAAAUACCUGCGAGCAGAUGCUUAAUAUACAUGCCCUGUUUUUGUUUUUUUGCCAGUCCUGGAGGGCUUAGACUCAGGG